UACAGAGGUCUCAAGCGUUUGUUCGGAUUCAUUGGGCGUAAAGGGUGCGUAGGUGGCGCCAUAAGUCAGGUGUGAAAUCUCGGGGCUCAACCCCGAAACUGCACUUGAUACUGUGGUGCUCGAGUACUGGAGAGGAGAUUGGAAUUUACGGUGUAGCAGUGAAAUGCGUAGAUAUCGUAAGGAAGACCAGUGGCGAAGGCGAAUCUCUGGACAGUUACUGACACUGAGGCACGAAGGCCAGGGGAGCAAAACGGG
rnacentral:rRNA from 1 species